rnacentral:rRNA from 1 species
UACGGGGGGGGGCAAGCGUUGUUCGGAAUUACUGGGCGUAAAGGGCUCGUAGGCGGCCAACUAAGUCGGACGUGAAAUCCCCAGGCUCAACCUGGGAACUGCGUCCGAUACUGGAUGGCUUGAAUCCGGGAGAGGGAUGCAGAAUUCCAGGUGUAGCGGUGAAAUGCGUAGAUAUCUGGAGGAAUACCGGUGGCGAAGGUGGCAUCCUGGACCGGCAUUGACGCUGAGGAGCGAAAGCCAGGGGAGCAAACGGG